UGGGGAAUAUUGGACAAUGGGCGCAAGCCUGAUCCAGCCAUGCCGCGUGAGUGACGAAGGCCUUAGGGUUGUAAAGCUCUUUUGGCGGGGACGAUAAUGACGGUACCCGCAGAAUAAGCUCCGGCUAACUUCGUGCCAGCAGCCGCGGUAAUACGAAGGGAGCUAGCGUUGUUCGGAAUCACUGGGCGUAAAGCGCACGUAGGCGGAUUAUUAAGUCAGGGGUGAAAUCCCGGGGCUCAACCUCGGAACUGCCUCUGAUACUGAUAGUCUCGAGUCCGGAAGAGGUGGGUGGAAUUCCUAGUGUAGAGGUGAAAUUCGUAGAUAUUAGGAAAAACACCGGUGGCGAAGGCGGCCCACUGGUCCGGUACUGACGCUGAGGUGCGAAAGCGUGGGGAGCAAACAGGAUUAGAUACCCGAGUAGUCCCUGAGCGGGCUGGCAAGGCGCAU
rnacentral:rRNA from 1 species